UACAUGUGUGGGGUACAUCCCAUAGCGUGCGUGUACAUGAAGUCAAAGGACAAAUUUUGGGAGUUGGUACUUUCCUUUCACCAUGUGAAUCCUGGGGAUCAAACUCAGGUCAUGGAGCUUAGCAGCAAGCCCCUUUACCCACUGAACUCUCUCACAAGCCCCUGAUGCACAAUUUAAAAUGGAAGAACCAUUUGUCUCUGAAAGUUUCCAUUUCAUAUUUUCAGGCCAUAUUUGAUGCACAUAACUGCAGGUGACUGAAACUCAGGUGCUUCUGACUCAAGACAGCAGUCCUAGGGAGUAGGAGUGACACUGUGCCAACAGUACCCAGGUUCAGAGCUUGUUCCUGACACAGGCUUCCUGGUUGAGACCAUAUACCACCCCCUGCCUGUGUAUGACCUUGGCUGGAACAUGAGCAGAAUGAGGAGCUAUUAUUGACCACGUGGUGACAGCAACAUCCUAGGAAGGAUGGACCGGGAUUCGAGGCAGCUGGGUCCCUGGAAACCCCAGAAUCUACAUCCUUUUCUAACAUUGUCCAGGCAACCACUUGGCUGUGGUUUAGUUGCUGAUUGGGAUGUUCCCAGCAGGCUGAAUCUCUGAUAUCCUCUCUCUUCUUUCACCCCAAGCAAGGGUUGAGUCUCUCUUCUCUCACACCUUCUAUUGCCUCGAGCCAAGGCUAACAGGCUUACAGGACCAUGAAAGCCCAGGCUACAGAUCUAUUGUUUGGUUUUGUGUGGGGUUUUUGCUUGUUUGUAACUUUGCUUUUUGUUUUUUGUUUGUUUGUUUGUUUGUUUGUUUGACAGAUUCUCAUUUUGUAGCUUUGGCUGGCAUGGAACUUACAGUGUAGAUGAUGCUGGCCUGAAACUCACAGAGAUCCUCCUGUCUCUGCCUCCUAAGUGCUGGGCUUAAAGGCACAUGCCACCAUCCCCUGGAAGGGGUUUUGUUUUGCCAAGGGUAAUCUUGAACUCACAAUGUAGUCAAAAACAAUCCAGAAUUCCUGAUCCUCCUAUGGUCACCUCCCAAGGGCAGGGAUUACAUCUAAAUGUCACCAUGCUGUUUUGACUUUGCACAUCUUUAAACUUCGUAAUGGUUGUCUGAAAUGAGCUAUGGGAGAAAUAUUUACACUAUGGAAAUUGGCAUACAUUUUUUCCUUCUGAAGAGCCAGUGUUCAAAGACAGCACUGUCCAUGGAUGUCUCAUCCUGUGGCCAGAGAGAGAGAGAGAGAGGGGGGGGGGGGAUCAGAACCCCCCUGAGGCAGCAGCAGCUCAAGGGUCUCUGAGGUCUUCACAGGCAGCAGAGUGCCAAGCCCCGCCUACCAUCUUAUACCUCCAGAACUCAGCACAACACAGAUUUAUUUGUCCCAGAGGGACAAAGGGCAGAGAAUGGGAGAUAGAAGAUGUGGGAGAAGGGGAAGGGGACAAGGGAGAGGGGGACAAAGGACAGCCUCUGGGUAGAGAGGAGACAGACGUGACCCACAGGCAAUGCAGUUUAUAAAGGGAAAAGGGGAAGCCCACGUGAGGAUGAGGUGUUUAAUUUUAGUUGGGCAUGUUAAUUAGGUGAGCCAAAGGGGGAUUUUGAUUGCCAGACUUUAAUAGCAGGACUUGGUGGUCAGCCUCAAGAGGAGGAAGUGGCCAAAUAUGGAAAUAGACCUUGGUGGCUAGCUUUAGGAAUGUAAUCUAAUGGUUUUUAGCAAGGCAGAGAGAAUGGGGGAAGGGCAAGCCUGUUUCCCGCUCUCAGGCUGGCUAGAUUCCCUUCAAGUCUAUCCUAAGUCCACAUCCCAGGGCCAGUCUCUGCCCUGAACUGGAGACUGCACUGCCCUGGGAGGGCCUUGUUUGACCCAUGUAGUACUCAGCAAGGAGAGGCUAGAUCUAAUCUUAGCUGCCCGGGUGACUCCUGGUGCUUUGAAACCAGCACAGUACUGUCCGGCUGAACAUUUGCCAAACUUGACUCACAGAGUAUGAGUCCUGACUGAGGCCCAUUGGACAUUCCGCGAGCAGAGAUUCCUGACAAGGCAUGACUUGGCAUUUUCCCUCAGGUCAGAUGCAGCAGCUAGCGGCCGGCCGCACUUCACAGUGCAAAGGCCUGUGUCCUCUACACACCUAAAAGCCCCGAAUACUUUUUUAUUUCUGGAGUCACUCUAAGGGGCUACAGCCCCUACCUCACUCUGUAGAAUUUUUGAAGUGCCUCAGAGCUACUUCCUAGUCUGAAUUCCUGCUUCCACAAAAUAUGGAUGCAGCUCCCCGUCCCACCCGGGUUUAGAAGGCUGCCCCCUGCCUCACUGUUCCUAGCAGUCUUCCUAUUUGCCCAAAGGCCACCAUUGUAAUUUUGUCAUAUGUAACAGAUUAUGGCUGGAGGUUUUAGGGGUCAGUAGAGGGGUAUUUCAGUUCCUGGAGGGGCAAGUAAAUGGUUUAAAAUGGACAGUGUGGUGUCAGAAAUCAGCCUGGCAUCCACACCUAAGCAAAGAUCUCUGUGGUCAGCUUUCACCUGGUGUUGCCCUGUUUCCAGAGCCCUCUUCUCCGUUCAGGGUCUCCAACCCACAUCUCGGCACCACACAGGAAGACAAGGAUCAUGCAGCUUUAUCAGCUAGUGUUGUCCAGUCCCUCUCCUUGACACAUUGGCAAUACCCUCUCAACUAUUUCUGACUCUUUUUAUAGCCAACCAGGUCCUGUAAAGACUUAGUAAUUCCAUAGAUGGCCACUUAUCACUAAGACCAAUACCAUCCUUGUGCUUUAUUUACGUGGAGUGACUGUCAAAAUAAAUAAACAGAAAUCAGGAAAUAGUUUGGUAACUCCACUUCUGGGUUCAGCCCCAAGACUUGAAAGCAGGUGCUCGGACAGUUGUGUGUGUGUGCCCAUGUUCAAAGGAACAUCAUUCUCAAUAGCCCAACAGUAUGAACACUGAAACGUCUACCAGCAGAUGGACCACAGAAUGAGGCACAUACAUACAGUGGACUGGGCUUUUAAAAAGAGUUGCAUUCUGACUCACUAACAACACAGAAGAGCCUGUAGACUACGAUGCUGGGCUGGAGAGACGGCUCAGUGGGUAAAGGUGUUUACCAUGCAAGCAGAUCCCACCGAGAAAAGAGAGACCCCCUCAAAGUUGUCCUCUGUCCUCUGACACUGUGAUACAUGUGUACCCAUAAACAAACCACACACACACACACACACACACACACACAGAGAGAGAGAGAGAGAGAGAGAGAGAGAGAGAGAGAGAGAGAGAGAAUAAUAAAUAUCAGCUUCCCAGAUACACAAAGGUAGUUGCUGUCAGGAGUUGAGAAAAGAGAGAUGGGGGACUAUCUAUUAAUGGACUGUUUUGACUUUAGUAAUGGAUAAUGACAAUGGCUGUACCACACAGCAUGAAUAUUCUUAAUGUCACUGAACUGAACACUUGGAGAUAGACAAAAACAAAACAAAACAAACAAACAAACAAAAAACCCAAACCAAAAAACAACCCCAUAAGGAUUGUGUAUGUAUACUUUUUAUCACGACCUAAGAACACCUCAGGAGGAUCUUGAGUCCUUUUAUCCUCUACCUCUGCAGGCAAGGCACCUUCCCACAUCCACCCAUCCCCAGGGAGCCCCGAGAUGGGGGCAGGUGAAGACAGAGGGCUGGGAGGGCCAGCACAGAGACACUGUUGUGACACAGCUGUGCCCAGGCAGCAGAAGGGGCCUCUCCCUGGGGUGCAGUAUCAAGGCUUGCUCAUAGGUAAGCACCCCCCAUUACAGACCCCAAAUAUUUUGCUGCUUUCUGAUUUCACCUGUCUUUUGAUGGAGAGCGAACCAGCGCUCUCCCUGGGAUUAUUCUUCACAAUAAGCAGCAAGCAAUUAAUUGCAGCAGUUGAAAUUUAUUGUGUGCUUGCCUCAACUCAAAGCCAGCCUCUGCUGGCUGUUUAUUUUUCACUGUUGAUGCAUUGCACACAGCAGCCCCAGAGCAUCUGAAUUUAGGGCACACACACCAUUGUGCAGCAUCCCCACUGCCACCUUCCCCUGAUCUGACCUCAUGCAAUCCAGAGCUCAGAGAAGGGAACUCUUGAUUGCUGGCCUACAGAAACAGUUGGGAGCAGAGGAAGCUUUGGGUUUUGUGCCUGGUGCACGUGGCUGGUGACUCAAUUCAUUUCAGGGUGCCCAGUCAAUAAAUCCUUACUAACCUGCCAGCACAGGCCACCCCCACGCCCCAGCUGUCACAGAAACCACCAGAAUCUGAGGCUCUCUCUCAGAUGAGCAGGAAGCACUCUAGCCUGUAUCCUCUUCAGGACUGCACAGAUGCCAAGGGGCAUCUUCUGGCUUCCCCACCUCCCAGCCCCACCUCCUGCCUUACCCCAUGUCACCUCACCCUACUCCCCACCCUGCCAAGUGACUGUCUAGAAAGGACUGUAAGUGUUGGUGCCUAACAAGGCAGAACAAAGGCCUGUGUGCUCAUUGAGUGCCAUUUGGAGUGCAUGACAAUUUCAGAGCACAAAUGGAAAAAGAAAAAAAAAAGAGAGAAAGAAGGCUUGAAAUCUAUAGCUGGCUUUUAUCAAACCAGGACUUGUAGGUCUUGCCUGACAAUCAGCCAGCAGCUCCAACCCACGAGGGACACUUCUCACGCGCAGCUUCUGGCUGGCUAUUAGCUCCCAGCAGCCUUCUGACCCUUUUUCCAGGGAAGUAACAGCUGGCAGCUGGCAAGGGGCUGGCAGAGUGGGCAGCUUUUGCAUCUCUGGGAAAGGAUGUAAGAUUGGCAGGAAAGGAGGCAUUUAAAAUAUGACUAUUAUAAGCAUUUUCCACUCGCCUCUCCUUAUUAUGCGUUUGGAUUCUGGCUCUGAUUGCUAAAAUGUAUUGUGUGCUAAGGAGCCCCCCUCCCUUAACCGUAGAUGUCCCAGCUUUUUCUCUGGGACUAAUACCAGCCUACAUAAUGAUGGAUUCUGUGAGUGUUUUCUACUCAGCUCUCUUUCAAACAAUUCUUAGCAGCAAAGAGGAUGGACAGAUGGCCAUGAGACCCAGUUCAGGUGUGGGGCUGGUGACUCAUCGAAACAGCAUUAGCUCUCUUGGGCCUGUUGGGCAAGGCCUUGUGUGGUACCAUGGCACUAGAGAGAAAUGGAUUUGGGGAUGGAGUGACGUGGAGAUGUAUUAGCUGCCAGUAGAAUGGAUAAUGUUGAAUUUCGCCUGUUCUCUUUCUUGUAUGUUCUAACCAGCUCUCCAUCUUGGAUCAGAAAGGGUGGUGGAGGUGGGGUCAUGCACCAGGAAGUGGCAAGCAGAGCAAAGUGAGGGGACAAUACCCCUCAGGGGAGUGGAAGGACUUUUGAGACAACUUCAUGCUUCCAAGGACCUGUCCAGUGAUGGUUAGGGCAUUAUUUGUAUACCCUCACAAGAGGAGGACUGGGGUUCAGAUUCAGGAGGCAGUGGCUGUGAGAGAAGGAAGAGAGGACAUUCCACCUUCCGCAUGGACUGUUGUUAAUUAUGCAGAUGAAUUGAUACAAAGGCUUUAAGUUGGAAGGGACAGCUGUCAUCUUGUUCCCACUCCAGCCCUGCAUCAGGACCACAUGGACUUUCCUGUGUUCAAAAGCCCCAGAGACAGGCUGCACCAUUCAUCCCUUAGUGGAGGCACUUCCUUGUCUGAAGGCUCAUGGACCUGAGGUUUCCUUGCAGUCAGGAGUGUCCAGUGCCCUGUCUGGAGGAGCUAAUGCAUGCUGAGGGGCUAAACUGGCCUUGCUCAGUGGAACUUUGUCUUCUGUGGCAGCAACUUUGAUGUGUGACUAAGAAAUAAAGCAACAAAGGCAAAUGUACUGAGCUUAUCAAAGAUAAUGGCUGCGGCUUCACCAGAGAAACCAGUACUCUUGCUGGUGCCAUUAUGCUGACCCUGAGGAACCAAACACAUUUCCUGUGAAGUAAAGAAUAACACUUAGCUGUUCUUGUCAGCCCACAGCAAAUGUAAAAUAGGCAAAGUUCAGUAUUAGAAUUUUCCUACCCACUUGCUUACUGUUUCCCAGCUUCACCCCACCCCCAAGGUAUUUACUGUUCUCCAGUGCCAGGAAAACAAAAUAAACUACUUUAU